AACGAACGCUGGCGGCAGGCUUAACACAUGCAAGUCGAGCGCCCCGCAAGGGGAGCGGCAGACGGGUGAGUAACGCGUGGGAAUCUACCCAUCUCUACGGAAUAACGCAUGGAAACGUGUGCUAAUACCGUAUACGUCCUUCGGGAGAAAGAUUUAUCGGAGAUGGAUGAGCCCGCGUUGGCUUAGCUAGUUGGUGGGGUAAAGGCCUACCAAGGCGACGAUCAAUAGCUGGUCUGAGAGGAUGAUCAGCCACACUGGGACUGAGACACGGCCCAGACUCCUACGGGAGGCAGCAGUGGGGAAUAUUGGACAAUGGGCGCAAGCCUGAUCCAGCCAUGCCGCGUGAGUGAUGAAGGCCCUAGGGUUGUAAAGCUCUUUCACCGGUGAAGAUAAUGACGGUAACCGGAGAAGAAGCCCCGGCUAACUUCGUGCCAGCCGCCGCCGUAAUAC
rnacentral:rRNA from 1 species